UACAGAGGUCUCAAGCGUUGUUCGGAUUCAUUGGGCGUAAAGGGUGCGUAGGUGGCGCCGUAAGUCGGGGUGUGAAAUUUCGGAGCUUAACUCCGAAACUGCAUUCGAUACUGCCGUGCUUGAGGACUGGAGAGGAGACUGGAAUUUACGGUGUAGCGGUGAAAUGCGUAGAUAUCGUAAGGAAGACCAGUGGCGAAGGCGGGUCUCUGGACAGUUCCUGACGCUGAGGCACGAAGGUCAGGGGAGCAAACGGG
rnacentral:rRNA from 1 species